rnacentral:rRNA from 1 species
GAUGAACGCUGGCGGCGUGCUUAACACAUGCAAGUCGAACGGUGAAGCAGGAGCUUGCUCUUGUGGAUCAGUGGCGAACGGGUGAGUAACACGUGAGCAACCUGCCCCUGACUCCGGGAUAAGCGCUGGAAACGGCGUCUAAUACUGGAUAUGUGAUGUGACCGCAUGGUCUGCAUCUGGAAAGAAUUUCGGUUGGGGAUGGGCUCGCGGCCUAUCAGCUUGUAGGUGAGGUAAUGGCUCACCAAGGCGUCGACGGGUAGCCGGCCUGAGAGGGUGACCGGCCACACUGGGACUGAGACACGGCCCAGACUCCUACGGGAGGCAGCAGUGGAGAAUAUUGCACAAUGGGCGGAAGCCUGAUGCAGCAACGCCGCGUGAGGGAUGACGGCCUUCGGGUUGUAAACCUCUUUUAGCAGGGAAGAAGCGAAAGUGACGGUACCUGCAGAAAAAGCACCGGCUAACUACGUGCCAGCCGCCGCGGUAA